rnacentral:rRNA from 1 species
AAAUUGAAGAGUUUGAUCAUGGCUCAGAUUGAACGCUGGCGGCAGGCCUAACACAUGCAAGUCGAGCGGUAGCACAGAGAGCUUGCUCUCGGGUGACGAGCGGCGGACGGGUGAGUAAUGUCUGGGAAACUGCCUGAUGGAGGGGAUAACUACUGGAAACGGUAGCUAAUACCGCAUAACGUCGCAAGACCAAAGUGGGGGACCUUCGGGCCUCAUGCCAUCAGAUGUGCCCAGAUGGGAUUAGCUAGUAGGUGGGGUAACGGCUCACCUAGGCGACGAUCCCUAGCUGGUCUGAGAGGAUGACCAGCCACACUGGAACUGAGACACGGUCCAGACUCCUACGGGAGGCAGCAGUGGGGAAUAUUGCACAAUGGGCGCAAGCCUGAUGCAGCCAUGCCGCGUGUGUGAAGAAGGCCUUCGGGUUGUAAAGCACUUUCAGCGGGGAGGAAGGCGGUGAGGUUAAUAACCUCACCGAUUGACGUUACCCGCAGAAGAAGCACCGGCUAACUCCGUGCCAGCAGCCGCGGUAAUACGGAGGGUGCAAGCGUUAAUCGGAAUUACUGGGCGUAAAGCGCACGCAGGCGGUCUGUCAAGUCGGAUGUGAAAUCCCCGGGCUCAACCUGGGAACUGCAUUCGAAACUGGCAGGCUAGAGUCUUGUAGAGGGGGUAGAAUUCCAGGUGUAGCGGUGAAAUGCGUAGAGAUCUGGAGGAAUACCGGUGGCGAAGGCGGCCCCUGGACAAAGACUGACGCUCAGGUGCGAAAGCGUGGGAGCAAACAGGAUUAGAUACCCUGGUAGUCCACGCCGUAAACGAUGUCGAUUUGGAGGUUGUGCCCUUGAGGCGUGGCUUCCGGAGCUAACGCGUUAAAUCGACCGCCUGGGGAGUACGGCCGCAAGGUUAAAACUCAAAUGAAUUGACGGGGCCCGCACAAGCGGUGGAGCAUGUGGUUUAAUUCGAUGCAACGCGAAGAACCUUACCUGGUCUUGACAUCCACAGAACUUUCCAGAGAUGGAUUGGUGCCUUCGGGAACUGUGAGACAGGUGCUGCAUGGCUGUCGUCAGCUCGUGUUGUGAAAUGUUGGGUUAAGUCCCGCAACGAGCGCAACCCUUAUCCUUUGUUGCCAGCGGUCCGGCCGGGAACUCAAAGGAGACUGCCAGUGAUAAACUGGAGGAAGGUGGGGAUGACGUCAAGUCAUCAUGGCCCUUACGACCAGGGCUACACACGUGCUACAAUGGCAUAUACAAAGAGAAGCGACCUCGCGAGAGCAAGCGGACCUCAUAAAGUAUGUCGUAGUCCGGAUUGGAGUCUGCAACUCGACUCCAUGAAGUCGGAAUCGCUAGUAAUCGUAGAUCAGAAUGCUACGGUGAAUACGUUCCCGGGCCUUGUACACACCGCCCGUCACACCAUGGGAGUGGGUUGCAAAAGAAGUAGGUAGCUUAACCUUCGGGAGGGCGCUUACCACUUUGUGAUUCAUGACUGGGGUGAAGUCGUAACAAGGUAACCGUAGGGGAACCUGCGGUUGGAUCACCUCCUUACCUUAAAGAA